UAUGGUUACAGUUGUGUGCCUGGAUCUUC
rnacentral:piRNA from 1 species